UACGUAGGGGGCAAGCGUUGUCCGGAAUUAUUGGGCGUAAAGAGCGCGUAGGCGGUCCGAUAAGUCGGCUGUGAAAGUCAGGGGCUCAACCCUUGAAAGCCGGCCGAUACUGUCGGACUAGAGUCCGGAAGAGGCGAGUGGAAUUCCCGGUGUAGCGGUGAAAUGCGCAGAUAUCGGGAGGAACACCAAUGGCGAAGGCAGCUCGCUGGGACGGUACUGACGCUGAGGCGCGAAAGC
rnacentral:rRNA from 1 species